GCCUUCCUGACGAGAGGUCCUACAAGAUGCGUUCGUUGGUUUUUAAGUUUCUUGUUAUUUGAGUGUUCCUUGAAUGUCUUGUUACUUAACGUUGCGUUUUAGGAUUCGUUGGCUUCGUCAAAAACUACGUUGACUUGAAUGGCUCGCAAGACGUAAAGUAUUUUUAUUCCUUCAAUCCUUCCACUUCAAGGAUUUCAACUUGUGGGAUAUUUGCAUCAAAAUAAAAUGGAAUUUAGACCUAAGAUAACAUCUCAACGUAUCUAUUCUAAUGGAGGACGAAUGUGGUAACUAUUCUCAACUGACUAAAAAAUGGUUUGUAGUUGUCCAUUGGUACAGUGACCUGGAACACAGAGAAGGGUUGCUGGAACAGACAUGAGGGUUGCUGAAUCAUAUGGUUGCUGGAACAGACAUGAGGGUUGCUGAAUCAUAUUAUGGUUGCUGGAACAGACAUGAGGGUUGAUUAAUCAUAUGGUUGCUGGAACAGACAUGAGGGUUGCUGAAUCAUAUGGUUGCUGAAUCAUAUGGUUGCUGGAACAGACAUCAAGGGUUGCUGAAUCAUAUGGUUGCUGGAACAGACAUGAGGGUUGCUGAAUCAUAUGGUUGCUGGAACAGAUAUGAGGGUUGCUGUAUAAAGACUUGAGGAUUGUUGGAACUUAAAGUUGCUGGAAUAC